AGCGAACGCUGGCGGCAGGCUUAACACAUGCAAGUCGAGCGGGCACUUCGGUGUCAGCGGCAGACGGGUGAGUAACACGUGGGAACGUACCCUUUGGUUCGGAAUAACGCUGGGAAACUAGCGCUAAUACCGGAUACGCCCUUUUGGGGAAAGGCUUGCUGCCGAAGGAUCGGCCCGCGUCUGAUUAGCUAGUUGGUGGGGUAAUGGCCUACCAAGGCGACGAUCAGUAGCUGGUCUGAGAGGAUGAUCAGCCACACUGGGACUGAGACACGGCCCAGACUCCUACGGGUGGCAGCAGUGGGGAAUAUUGGACAAUGGGCGCAAGCCUGAUCCAGCCAUGCCGCGUGAGUGAUGAAGGCCUUAGGGUUGUAAAGCUCUUUUGUCCGGGACGAUAAUGACGGUACCGGAAGAAUAAGCCCCGGCUAACUUCGUG
rnacentral:rRNA from 1 species